UUUCCGUGAGUUCUCUGCCUUUUGAUUACUAUAUCAUAUGGCAUACAGAUUAGGAAGCUAAUUAUUAAUGGGGGGAGGUUGAGGGGGUAGAUUUCUGAGGGUGGGGAGGACGCAGAAGGAAGCAGACACAGUGACAGCCCUCCAGAACUUAGAGGCAUCCUCGGAGUGGAGGAAAGAAGAUUCAUCCCAUUGGUAAAACUGGAGCGAGGAACGUCUGUCCAGAGGCCAACUUCUUUGAACUGGAGCUGGAGAAAAUACUUCUGCCAAAUGAGGUCCCAUUGACAUCAUCAAGGGAGGAAAGAAAAGUCAUCACAAAUUGUUCUUGGGAUUGUUCUAUCCUUCCAAAUCUACUGUGUGUGAUUGGAUCAGUCUUCAGCUUCAAACAUGAGCUAUUUCAUUCUCAGGUUUGUUCCAGAAAGGAAGAAAAGGGCUUGUAGCAAGAUCUACCUCCAACUUUGUCAACUUUAAAACUUGUGGAGUU